AGCCAGGUGUAGGAUUUAUGAAGUGAAAUAAAUGUUGCUUUAAGAUUGCCACGGAAUUCUGAGUAAGUCAGAGGAAGAGAAUUUUCCAGAGCCUUAGGAGAGGCAGUUGGUAAAAAUGACACCACUUCUGGGAGAGAGACUCAGAGGCUGGUUGGUCCUGGUUUUUCCCUCUGAUCAUCCUUGAGGAUAUUGGUGAAGAUUGAAUUUGAAACCAGCUUGAUAUUAAGAUAUUAAGAAACUUGGAAAGAUGACUGAUCAGAAAGCAGGAGUUACUGUGCCCCAUUCUGAGGUAUUCCUUUGGUGGUCACCAGAGAGCAACUGCUUUGAGAGCUCAUCCUCUAAAGAGGGAACAAGCCACACUACCCUGGGGGCUGAGUAAACCCUGCCGACAGUACAACUUCCUUUCCUGGUGUGCCCCAACCAUCAAGUAGGCGGCUCCUUCCAAGAAUGCAAAAGCGAAUCUCACCAGAAUCCAAAAGGAAGGAAUCACUCUACUCAACACCACAAGAUCCAAGGAAAGAGUAUUUUCCAGUCUGGCUCACCAAUGCAGAGAUUGUACAGUGGUCUGGAAGAACUCUUCUGAAGAUCAAUGAUGAAAAGCAACAAAGUGGAGUAGGAAAGGUGCUGGUUGUUGAACCAGUAAGACCUGUGUUUAAGUCAGGGGUGGGCUGGGAAACAUUUAAUAACUGUUUCUCUGGGAAAAUAUACAUGACAUCCUUUUAAAAUUAACCUGAUUAUUAAUAUUUUAUUGCUCUCUUGAGUUUGACUUGUAUUAUUUGCCAGUUUCCAAUUUAUAAAUGCUUAACACUGAAAAUUUAACACUCGAUCUCAUGAGCUGAUUCAAGCUGCCUCCUGCAAGUACCUUCAAGUCUUGUCUCUAAUGCUUAUUUGCCACAUGACUAUGACCUCUUCCCCUUCCUCAUCUAUAAAAUGCUAAUAAUAAUACCUGUAACAUCUAUCUCACAAAAUGGUUGUAAGACUCAAACACCUGUGUAUACUUUAAACCCCCAUAUAAGCAUCUGCUUAUAUUUUCUAUUGCUGUCAGUGUAGCAGGUGGAGCAGUCUGGGUCCCUCUGAAGCCUUUCCCCAAUCUCUUAAUAUUGAUGCCUUCCUUCUCAUAUCAUUUCCAAUUUAUCUUAUAUUCAUUUUAUUUGUACAUUUUAUUUGCCCCAUUAGGCUGAGCUCCUUGAGGUCAGU
rnacentral:lncRNA from 1 species